UACGUAGGGAGCAAGCGUUGUUCGGAUUUACUGGGCGUAAAGGGCGCGUAGGCGGCCUUCUAAGUCAGACGUGAAAUCCCCCGGCUUAACCUGGGAACUGCGUCUGAUACUGGAAGGCUUGAGUGCGGGAGAGGGAUGUGGAAUUCCAGGUGUAGCGGUGAAAUGCGUAGAUAUCUGGAGGAACACCGGUGGCGAAGGCGGCAUCCUGGACCGACACUGACGCUGAGGCGCGAAAGCUAGGGUAGCAAACGGG
rnacentral:rRNA from 1 species